rnacentral:rRNA from 1 species
CCUACGGGUGGCAGCAGUGGGGAAUAUUGCACAAUGGGCGCAAGCCUGAUGCAGCCAUGCCGCGUGUAUGAAGAAGGCCUUCGGGUUGUAAAGUACUUUCAGUGGGGAGGAAGGGAGUAAAGUUAAUACCAUUACGUAUUGACGAUACCCGUAGAAGAAGCACCGGCUAACUCCGUGCCAGCAGCCGCGGUAAUACGGAGGAUGCAAGCGUUAAUCGGAUUUACUGGGCGUAAAGCGCACGCAGGCGGUUUGUUAAGUCAGAUGUGAAAUCCCCGGGCUCAACCUGAGAACUGCAUUUGAUACUGGCAGGCUUGAGUCUCGUAGAGGGGGGUAGAAUUCGAGGUGUAGCGGUGAAAUGCGUAGAGAUCUCGAAGAAUGCCGAUGGCGAAGGCAGCCCCCUGGACGGAAACUGACACUCAGGUGCGAAAGCGUGGGGAGCAAACAGGAUUAGAUACCCCAGUAGUC